rnacentral:rRNA from 1 species
GACGUAGGGCGCGAGCGUUGUCCGGAUUUAUUGGGCGUAAAGAGCUCGUAGGCGGCUUGUCGCGUCGAAUGUGAAAUUUUAGGGCUCAACCCUGACAUUGCAUUCGAUACGGGCAGGCUUGAGUUCGGUAGGGGAGACUGGAAUUCCUGGUGUAGCGGUGAAAUGCGCAGAUAUCAGGAGGAACACCGGUGGCGAAGGCGGGUCUCUGGGCAACAACUGACGCUGAGGAGCGAAAGCGUGGGGAGCGAACAGG